rnacentral:lncRNA from 1 species
GAAAAAACCCAAGACAACUGACAAAAAAUACAAGAUUGACUUUCACUGAGUAAAUCUGAUCCCUUUUAAUGGAUUUGACUUUGUCUGUUUAAAGAAAGAUGGGCAGAUUGAAGAAUCCUGGGAGUGGAGCAUCAUAACUUCUUGACUCAGCAGUUCUUGCCCACAGAGAUAAAAAUGCAGCUGGUCCAUGCCAGCCAGGACAGCAGAAAAUCUCCUGGUGGGAUAUAUUAUAGGAUCAUAGAAAACCGGGGACGACAGAAUGGACCCACCAAAUGACUCCCACUUCUCCCUACCUGACAUCCAUCAACAAUUAUUAAAUGCCCACUAUAUGCCAGAAAAGGAAACUAAGGCAAACAGGGUUAAGUGAUCUGCCUAGAGUCACACAAUUACUAAAUGUCUGAGACUGAGUCCAGGGCCAGCACUCUAUCUACUGCAGCACCUAGCUGCCUAAGAAGGUAAGCCAUAUUCUUU